rnacentral:tRNA from 1 species
GACGGUUUGGCUGAGUGGUCUAAGGGCCAGAUUUAGGCUCUGGUCCGAAAGGGGCGUGGGUUCAAAUCCACAGCGUCA